UUGUACGCGCUAGUUGUCGGUGAAUCGCUCUAACAAAUCUUACACGUGGUCUACAUUUUCGAAUUUUCGCAAAAGAAACUUUGCUAUUUCCGAGUAUCUUUAUUCCACGAUUAUUGUAAACUCGUUAUUCCAUAUUAUUGUAAAUUCCGUUAUUCUAUAUUGCAGUAAAUUCUGUUUAUCUCCGCGCACGUGGUUUCGCGUAAUACAACCGAUUGUAAUUUCGGCUAUCUCCGACCAUAGUUUGUGCUCGUUUGACGUUGUCAUUUAUUACGACGACCGCAAGUUAUUAGUUCUACGAAUUUCUUAUUACGCCCAGUUAAUAUUAGUAUCUCGCUAGUCGAAAACGCGUGUAAGACGUAUAUUAUGUUACUUAGAUUUAGGAAUUAUUAUUGUUAUUGCGACGUGUAAAGUAUCGGGGAAUCGCCCCGGGUUUCUUAUAUAAAAUUCACAUAAGUGCCAGGAGCACAUAAUUAUUGUUAUUACGACUACUGUAAAGUAUCGGGGAAUCGCCCCAGGUUUCUUAUAUAAAAUUCACAUAAGUGCCAGGUGCACAUAAAUCUCGCCUAUUCUUUUCUCGUCACGUUCACCCGCUAUAAUAUUGGAUAGUAACGUCACAAUUCUGGGUACGACUGCUCUCCCAGUGUGUCAGCGAUGUGGUCCAAUGCUGAAAUCGCUCGAGCAACGUGAGUGAAUCUUCCGAACAAGAAGUUCAACCAACCAUUAACAAAGAAAUUGUGCACACAUGAUAGCGAUAAUGUUCAUUCGGAACGUGGAGUAAUACGCGUGGUGCGUAUACUGGGGAGGAGAUAUCCCCUGACGGAUACAUUCUACAAGUAUCUCGAUAUCGGGGUUCGAAUCGGUGGUUCCUGCGACGUAGAGCUGGCUAUAGGAGACUCGUGGAAACGAAAUUAAAUUUUCUAUGGAUACGUGGAAAGGUCUACUACGAAAGAGGUAUAACAUUCUGCAGAUUUUUAUUGAUACAUCGGGAACCUCGAGCGAGCCGAUAAGCAUUAAUGAUGUAACAGUUAAAUUCCGACAACUAAAUGACCAAAAACUCGCAAAACUCUCAAAUUCUACCGUCUCUAUGUUCAUGAGUGAAAAAACCGUACAAAAGUUGUUUGCUUUCGAGUAUUGUAUCGAUCACAUGUACAGUUGGCUGUCUGAAAACUUGUACCUGGUAGAAUCUAAGUACAACAAGUUUAUAGAAAUAAUACAAAAUGCUGAAAUUAAGGAUUAUGCAAAGGCAAUUGUUGAACAUGAAAAUUUUGAGCAUCAUUCAUUGAUUGACUCUAAAUUGUUAGCAUUAGGUUUAGAUAUAAUGGUGGAAUACAGUUAUCAAUAAAAAGAAU